AUAAAAAAUGAUGAAAAGUUACUGCCCCAGUCUGAAUAAUAUGAAUGAGUAGUUUUUUCUGAUUUUAU
rnacentral:snoRNA from 1 species